GCUCUGACGACUCUCUGAGGGAGCCUUGUCCGUCAGGCUCAGUGCGUUUUGGUUCAGGCGCCCGUUAGUGGCGGAAGAGGCCACGCGGAGUCUCCUCCCUGUGUCACCCAGGCUGGAAUGCAGUGAUGUCAUCUCGGUUCACUCAGCUUCCACAUCCUGGGCUCAAGUGAUCCUCCCGCCUCGGCCUCCCAGAGGUCUGGGAUCACAGGCGGAGCCACCACAUCGGUCCAGCCGUUGCGGUUCGUGCCAGGUGGUCGGCUGGCCAUCACGGUGCCCUUGUCACCUGUGUCUCCAAGCCCUACACACCAUGAAGGUGUGCCCAAGGAUGUUGUAGAACUCUCUAGCCACAGUGUGGGGAUGGGAGCUCCCGCCGACAGACUCUGUUGCUUUCUGGCUUGAUUCCUGAAUGACCCGGCAGCAUGGCAGAGGUGGUGGCUACUGAUAUGGCUCCGAUGACGGGAGGAACACCAGGGUCCUUGGUUUUGCGCUGAUGUAGGCGCAACCUGGAAGAGCCAGAGAGAAGAACUACACAAGACAAGGAGCACAGAGGCAAGUUGGAGCACCAUUGCACCCUGAAAACAGCUGGUGCUUG